GUUGGAUAUGGAGACAUCUAUCCACAAACCCUGCUUGGCAAAAUUGUAGGAGGGCUUUGCUGUAUAGCAGGUGUGCUAGUCAUUGCUCUUCCCAUCCCCAUAAUUGUCAACAAC
rfam:Poecilia formosa, whole genome shotgun sequence.